rnacentral:rRNA from 1 species
AACGUAGGAGACAAACGUUAUCCGGAGUUACUGGGCGUAAAGGGCGUGUAGGUGGUUUCGUAAGUCUGGCGUGAAAUUUCUCGGCUUAACCGAGGCAGGUCGUCGGAUACUGCGGAACUUGAGGACGGUAGAGGCGUGUGGAAUUCCGGGUGUAGUGGUGAAAUGCGUAGAGAUCCGGAGGAACACCAGUGGCGGAAGGCGACACGCUGGGCCGUACCUGACACUGAUGCGCGACAGCAUGGGGAGCAAACAGG